rnacentral:rRNA from 1 species
GAUGAACGCUGGCGGCGUGCUUAAUACAUGCAAGUCGAGCGAACAGACGAUGAUCUUGCUCCUCUCACGUUAGCCGCGCACGGGUGUGUAACACGUGUAUACCCUACCUAUCAUACUGGUAUAACUUCGGGACACCGGCGCUAAUCCCGUAUAAUCUACUGCACCGCAUUGUUCGAUAGUGAAAGUCGGUUUUUCUGUCUCUUCUAGCUGCAUCCGCGCCGAUUUAGCUAGUUGGUAAGGUAACGGCUUACCAGGGCAACGAUGCGUAGCCGACCUGAGAGGGUGGUCGGCCACACUGGAAGGGGGACGCGGACCAGAGUCCUACGGGAAGGAGCAGUAGGGAAUAGGACGCAAUGGGCGAGAGCAUGACGGAACAACGCCGCGUGAGUGAUGAAGGUCUUCGGAUCGUAAAACUCUGUUAUUAGGGAAAAACAAAUGUGUAAGUAACUAUGCACGUCUUGACGGUAACGAAUCAGAAAGCCACGGCUAACUACGUG